rnacentral:rRNA from 1 species
AUUGAACGCUGGCGGCAGGCCUAACACAUGCAAGUCGAACGAGAGGCGGACGGGUGAGUAAAGUCUGGGAAACUGCCUGAUGGAGGGGGAGAACAACUGGAGACGGUGACUAAUACCGCAUACCAUCAGAUGUGCCCAGAUGGGAUUAGCUAGGAGGGGGGGGAAUGGCUCACCUAGGCGAUGAUCCCUAGCUGGUCUGAGAGGAAGACCAGCAACAUUGGAACUGAGACACGGUCCAGACUCCUACGGGAGGCAGCAGUGGGGAAUAUUGCACAAUGGGCGCAAGCCUGACGCAGCAAUGCCGCGUGUGUGAAGAAGGCCUUCGGGUUGUAAAGCACUUUCAGCGGGGAGGCGUUACCCGCAGAAGAAGCACCGGCUAACUCCGUGCCAGCAGCCGCGGUAAUAC